rnacentral:rRNA from 1 species
UACGGAGGGUGCAAGCGUUAAUCGGAAUUACUGGGCGUAAAGCGUGCGCAGGCGGUUUGUUAAGUCCGUUGUGAAAGCCCCGAGCUCAACUUGGGAAUUGCAGUGGAUACUGGCAGGCUGGAGUACGGUAGAGGAAGGUGGAAUUCCCGGUGUAGCAGUGAAAUGCGUAGAUAUCGGGAGGAACACCAGUGGCGAAGGCGGCCUUCUGGACCAGUACUGACGCUCAUGCACGAAAGCGUGGGUAGCAAACAGG